rnacentral:rRNA from 1 species
UACGGGGGGAGCAAGCGUUGUUCGGAAUUACUGGGCGUAAAGGGCGCGUAGGCGGCCUGCUAAGUCAGACGUGAAAUCCCUCGGCUUAACCGGGGAACUGCAUCUGAUACUGGAUGGCUUGAGUUUGGGAGAGGGAUGCGGAAUUCCAGGUGUAGCGGUGAAAUGCGUAGAUAUCAGGAGGAACACCGGUGGCGAAGGCGGCACUCUGGGCCGGUACUGACGCUGAGGAGCGAAAGCGUGGGGAGCGAACAGG